GCCUUUGUAUUUUUUAUUUAUAUGUACCUCGACGUUUUUUUUUAUGAUUCUGUCCUUGAAUUCAAGAAAAUACUUUGACAUUUGAAUUCGCAGUGUUUCUUUUUGGAUAUCCAAAUAAAACCUGGGUACCAGUGAGUAUUUCAGUUUAUGUAAAUUUAACAGUUCCAAAGGUAUCUGCCCUACCUCACUAUAGUCCGAAGUGCACUGCUGGAUCUCGUAUAGAUUUGAAUGUAUGACUUGUAAAUGGCUUAGUCUGUUUGACCUGUUGAUUUGCCUAAUUUCCCUGCAGCAAUUUUAAAAAAAUGCUUUGGUGAGAAUGUUUUUCUGAGUUUGAAGGAUUUCUUUAUAAUGGCGGAUUACUUUAACCACUUGCUAAAGUAGUAUAAACCUGCCAGCAGAUUGUAAGUGUUAACUAAGCUCCUAAGCUUACAGUUUUUAUUUGUAAUAAAAUUAUAUAACUAAUCUAAACACUUACCUUAUAAUUAAAAGUAAUGUAAAUUCUCUAAUAAAAAUCUGUUUUGCAGGUAAGACAACUAUAAAAAACAUAUGAGGCAACUGGAUGUUUACUAAUGUUGGAUUAACAAUAGAAAUGUACUUUACAUAUAUAUUUAAGAGAAAGUGGGUGCCUGGGAAUAUUUCUUUUCCUAGUAAGUCAUAUUGGCACAGAGAAAAAAAUACUUAAAUUUUUGGAGUAACGUCUGCUAUCUCCCUUUUAAGUAGUAAGUUGAUAGCAUGAGGCUUUGAUUUCCAAUAUAAACUACUAGAAUUUUAUAGUCACCAGAAUAUUAUAUUUCUUUUCAAAGACUCUUAAGAUCUCUCUUCCUUUUGCAAUUUAAAGGAAAAAAUUAAGUCAAAUCCUCAAGGAAAAAUACUUUUUGAAAUUGGUCACCAUCUGUUUUAGUGUUUGUAUUUCAAUAAAGAGUUCACCUUAGGGUUGGGGUUGAGAUUGAGCGCAAUAUAUUUGGAGAUUUUUACAUAGCAACACAGUGCACUGCCAUAUACCGACUUGCUAAGGUUUAAUUCAAUAAAUUGAGUCUUACAUUGGCCUGGUGCCAUAUUGAGAUAACUCACUAAAGAGUGGGUACCUGUCAGUACAACGAUGCUGGGAAAUCCUGACUUUGAGCAAAUAUUAUGAAAAUUCCUUUUUUUACGUAAGACAAAAAAAAGUGAUUGAUUUUACCAAAAAAUUCACCCCAGGGUUUAUUUAAAUAGUUCCUCCUGUGUAUUUAAAUAGGAUUGAUUUAUGGUAAAUUUUUCUGGGACACCUUAUAUGACUCGAAGUUUACGAAAACAAAUAUCAGCAUAUACAUAAAUGGUAUAGUUAACAGAAUUAUUCUUGAUGAAGAUUUAUUCUUUUAGGAAUUGCACUUUAUUUGGAAUAAUACUAGUUUAUCACGAAAUAAUAACUUACCUACCUCACAGGGUUGUUGUGAGGAUUAAGAUGUUUGUUAAAACUUUGACUACUUUGAACAUGCUAAUAAAAAAUGUAUUUUUUCUACCUCUUUCAUGUAUAGGCAA
rnacentral:lncRNA from 1 species